UACGGGGGGGGCAAGCGUUGUUCGGAAUUACUGGGCGUAAAGGGCGCGUAGGCGGCCUUCUAAGUCGAACGUGAAAUCCCUGGGCUCAACCCAGGAACUGCGUCCGAUACUGGAAGGCUUGAAUCCGGGAGAGGGAUGCGGAAUUCCAGGUGUAGCGGUGAAAUGCGUAGAUAUCUGGAGGAACACCGGUGGCGAAGGCGGCACCCUGGACCGACACUGACACUGAGGAGCGAAAGCCAGGGGAGCAAACGGG
rnacentral:rRNA from 1 species